AUUGAACGCUGGCGGCAGGCCUAACACAUGCAAGUCGAGCGAGCGGCGGACGGGUGAGUAAUGUAUGGGGACUGCCCGAUAGAGGGGGAUAACUACUGGAAACGGUAGCUAAUACCGCAUACUAUCGGAUAACCCAUAUGGGAUUAGCUAGUAGGUGAGGUAAUGGCUCACCUAGGCGACGAUCCCUAGCUGGUCUGAGAGGAUGAUCAGCCACCCGGGAACUGGGACACGGCCCAGACUCCAACGGGGGCAGCAGGGGGGAAUAUUGCACAAUGGGCGCAAGCCGAAUGCAGCCAGGCCGCGUGUAUGAAGAGGGCCCUAGGGUUGUAAAGUACUUUCAGUCGGGAGACGUUACCGACAGAGGAAGCACCGCCUAACUCCGUGCCAGCAGCCGCGGUAUUC
rnacentral:rRNA from 1 species